GGGAAGUUGGAGUUUGUUGGUCGAGUUGUGAGGAAGAAGGAGUCAGUGCUGCAAGGAGAGAAAUCACCUAGAAGGCAGCUGUUUCUGUCCCUGUGCCUUCAAGCUCUACCCAGUUGGCUGAGAUGUGAACAGAGACCCCAAGGGGUGCAAUUUUUGAAAUGGAUCCAAGCUGCUUGGCUCAUGCUGUACUUCAUAAAUACUGGGAAAAUUAAGAAAGGAGAAAGAAUUAUGUUUUAUCUGGAAUUCUGCAUCUACUUGAAGCCUGUUCUUCCUUCCAUAUGAGAGUGGUAUUGCUGUCUUUACAUGACAGGGCAAACCGGUUUUCAGUGGAUUAGGUACACUUAAAAGUGUCUGGCUCUUUGAGAAGAAUGGACUGAAAUCCUAUGAUUCCUGGAAUACCCUCAUUGGCUGCUUGUUAGAAUGUACUGGAAGAGUGACUAAAUCAGAAACAGAUCUGAGUCUUCAAAAUUCUUCUUUUAAAAAUUGGUUGAUCCAAUUUUAAACAAUUUUUUGGAGCCAACUUUAACAGAAACAUAUAAUAAAAACUGUAUGGAAAACA